GACACGCUUAUGAUUUUUCUUUGUGUUUUCUUGAUGAAUUAUUAAUGAGUUUUUUAAAGGAAAUUACAUGCAUGGUCCGAGAAGUAAUAAUGAAAAAUCGCAUGUUGGUGAAAUAUUUCUAAUUUGCCAAGCACAAGUGAUUUUUCAUUAAUACUUCGAGAGCAAAUAUAAUUUCCUGUUAAUAUAAUUUUAUAGUCAAUUUUACACGACCAAUCAAUGACAACUAGAAGACCUAGAAAGAUUGUAUAUUAUUCAAGCAUAGUACACAAUCGCAUCCGUACGCGCCUUUGUCAGUUUUGAGAGUAAUUUCUGACAUUAAUUUUCAAUUCAUACCUGUAAAAACUUUAAAUAAUCUUUAUUUCUGCUUUGUCUUCUUUAUUUGAAAAUAAUAAGUGCUCAGAAAGUAUAAUUUUCACGUUGUUUACUUAGAUUUUGUGUUAUUUAAAUUUCUGGGGCCGGUUGUAUAAAAAAGUGAUUAAAGUGCUUAUGAAACGAAAUUUUCA